rnacentral:rRNA from 1 species
UACGGGGGGGGCAAGCGGUUGUUCGGAAUUACUGGGCGUAAAGGGCUCGUAGGCGGCCAACUAAGUCAGACGUGAAAUCCCUCGGCUUAACCGGGGAACUGCGGUCUGAUACUGGAUGGCUUGAGGUUGGGAGAGGGACGACGGAAUUGCCGGGUGGAGUGGGUGAAAUGCGUAAGAUAUCGUAAGGAAGACCGAAGUGGCGAAGGCGGGUCGUCGUG